rnacentral:snRNA from 1 species
AGCCACGCAGUGAGCGCAGAGCGAACUAUUCUUUCGCCUUUUACUAAAGAAUACCGUGUGCGCGCUGCACUCAGUGGCAUACGCCUAUUUUUGGAGGGGCUCUCUUCUUUGAGUUCC